rnacentral:tRNA from 2 species
GCCCGGAUAGUUAAGUGGCAAAAUAAGCCCUUGGUAAGGGCUAGGCACGGGUUCGAUUCCCGUUCCGGGCU